ACGUUUUGAAAGACAGGUGUUUCGGUUCACUUAUUGGAAAGAAGUGUGAAUUAGGUUGUUUCUCAUUAAGAUGCAAAACUGAAUUUCUCGCCUUCCCUAGGUCAACAGGCAUAAUGAAGUCCAGAGUACCAAAAGCAGGGUGCCGAUCCACAGCUGAAAGCUACCAGCUGAAAAAAGAGAUGCUGGUGACAUGAACAAACCAAGUGACAUAUGAACCUCCCACACUGUCUAGGAAGAGUAAGGAACCUUCGGCCUUCCAGAUGUUGUUGAACUACAGGUCCCAUCAUCCUUGGCCAUGCUUGCCAUCGUUCUGAUCACAUGGAACACUGGGUAGAUUGACUAGAUGUUGCCUGCAGGCUAUCUCUAUGAUUUCACGUGCUUUGGAUUGUAUGCCUUGGAGUGUAUGUCUCCAAGGUAGCCUCAGGACAAUCCUCUAAGCCAGGAAAAUUCACCUGGAUGGCUAAGAAGAUUGGAACACAAUACAGACAACAAUUUCUGUGAACCGCCCUGAGACCUGCGGGGGUAAUUUACUUGUGGCCCUCCAGGUGUUGUUGGACUAACGCUCCCAUCAUCCUCGUCCAUUGGCCAUGCUGGCUGAGGCUGCAGGUCUGCCACCUAUGCUUUAAGGGACCACCCUAGAGCUGGAACUGUAAAACAGCUUCCCAGAGGAGGAGGACCUUGCUUUCAGCCUCAUAAGAACAUAAGAAGAGCCUGCUGGAUCUGGCCAAUGGCCCGUCUAGUCCAGCCUCCUGUCCUCACAGCGGCCAACCAGAUGCUUCUGGAAGCAUGCAAGAGGAACACAAGCAGUGUCUUCAGUUUUAAGAUGGGAGUGGGAAACCUCCAGACCAUGAGAACUCCAAGAUGUAACCCAAGAGCUACCAACUAGAACCCCAAGCUCCACCAACCAGAAUGAGCGGAGUCCUUAGACACAAAGUUAAAACAAAAGAAUAGGAAGCCCCUGAGCAUACUCUCAUCCAGAAAAAGGACUGAACUGAGCUUGCAGUCGUUUCACAGAAAAGUUCACUCCUGGCAGCAAGAAGACUCAUCGCAAAGCACUGGAAGACACAAGAUCUACCCACCCGGGAAGAAUGGCAGAUGAAGCUGAUGGACUACAUGGAAUUGGCGGAAAUGACU